rnacentral:rRNA from 1 species
GAUGAACGCUGGCGGCGUGCUUAACACAUGCAAGUCGAACGAAGCACUCUAUUUGAUUUUCUUCGGAAAUGAAGAUUUUGUGACUGAGUGGCGGACGGGUGAGUAACGCGUGGGUAACCUGCCUCAUACAGGGGGAUAACAGUUGGAAACGACUGCUAAUACCGCAUAAGCGCACAGGAUCGCAUGAUCCGGUGUGAAAAACUCCGGUGGUAUGAGAUGGACCCGCGUCUGAUUAGCCAGUUGGCAGGGUAACGGCCUACCAAAGCGACGAUCAGUAGCCGACCUGAGAGGGUGACCGACCACAUUGGGACUGAGACACGGCCCAAACUCCUACGGGAGGCAGCAGUGGGGAAUAUUGCACAAUGGGGGAAACCCUGAUGCAGCGACGCCGCGUGAGCGAAGAAGUAUUUCGGUAUGUAAAGCUCUAUCAGCAGGGAAGAAGAAUGACGGUAC